UUUUCCUCUAGAGGUGUUGUAGGUGUGGCUGUUGUGUCACAACAGUAUAUAGAAGAGAGGAGAGAGGCUAUGUCUAUAUUUAGUGUUUAGUCCUAUGAAAAUCUGAAUGAUUGGUAGCCUAACAUU